rnacentral:rRNA from 1 species
AGGGAUCAUUACCGAGUUUACAACUCCCAAACCCCAUGUGAACAUACCUGUUUCGUUCCCUCGGCGGUGUCCGGCAACGGCCCGCCAGAGGACCCAACAAACUCUUUUGAAUUUUUCAGUAUCUUCUGAGUAAAAAAAACAAUAAAUCAAAACUUUCAACCACGGAUCUCUUGGUUCUGGCAUCGAUGAAGAACGCAGCGAAAUGCGAUAAGUAAUGUGAAUUGCAGAAUUCAGUGAAUCAUCGAAUCUUUGAACGCACAUUGCGCCCGCCAGUAUUCUGGCGGGCAUGCCUGUUCGAGCGUCAUUUCAACCCUCAAGCACCUUCGGGAGCUUGGUGUUGGGGAUCGGCAGGGCGUCCUCCGGGUCGCGCCGUCCCCCAAAUCUAGUGGCGGUCUCGCUGUAGCUUCCUCUGCGUAGUAAUACACCUCGCUCUGGAGUCUCGGUGCGGCCACGCCGUAAAACCCCCAACUUUUUUCUGGUUGACCUCGAAUCAGGUAGGACUACCCGCUGAACUUAA